rnacentral:tRNA from 1 species
GGCUGGGUGUAGCUCAACUGGAAGAGCGCCCCGAGAGCGGCAACGCACAAAUCGUGGAGGACGCAGGUUCGAUUCCCGCCCCCCAGCCA